rnacentral:rRNA from 1 species
GUUUGAUCCUGGCUCAGAUUGAACGCUGGCGGCAUGCUUUACACAUGCAAGUCGAACGGUAACAGGCCGCAAGGUGCUGACGAGUGGCGAACGGGUGAGUAAUGCAUCGGAACGUGCCCGGUCGUGGGGGAUAACACUUCGAAAGAAGUGCUAAUACCGCAUACGAUCUGAGGAUGAAAGCGGGGGACCGUAAGGCCUCGCGCGAUCGGAGCGGCCGAUGUCAGAUUAGGUAGUUGGUGGGGUAAAGGCUCACCAAGCCAACGAUCUGUAGCUGGUCUGAGAGGACGACCAGCCACACUGGGACUGAGACACGGCCCAGACUCCUACGGGAGGCAGCAGUGGGGAAUUUUGGACAAUGGGCGCAAGCCUGAUCCAGCAAUGCCGCGUGCAGGAAGAAGGCCUUCGGGUUGUAAACUGCUUUUGUACGGAACGAAACGGUCCGGGUUAAUACCCUGGGCUAAUGACGGUACCGUAAGAAUAAGCACCGGCUAACUACGUGCCAGCAGCCGCGGUAAUACGUAGGGUGCAAGCGUUAAUCGGAAUUACUGGGCGUAAAGCGUGCGCAGGCGGUUUUGUAAGACAGGCGUGAAAUCCCCGGGCUCAACCUGGGAAUUGCGCUUGUGACUGCAAGGCUGGAGUGCGGCAGAGGGGGAUGGAAUUCCGCGUGUAGCAGUGAAAUGCGUAGAUAUGCGGAGGAACACCGAUGGCGAAAGCAAUCCCCUGGGCCUGCACUGACGCUCAUGCACGAAAGCGUGGGGAGCAAAC